UUAUAUAGGUAAACUGGCGUCACAGGAGUUCGUUGUACAGAUUAUUUUGUCACCUGGGUACUAAGCCUAGCACUCAAUAGUUAUUUUUUUUCUGAUCCUCUCCCUCCUCCUACCCUCAACUGUCAAGUAGGCCCCAGUGUCUGUUGUUCUUCUCUUUGUGUCCAUGAGUUCUCAUCACUUAGCUCCCACUUACAGGUGAGAACAUGCAGCUUUUGGUUUUCUGUUCCUGCAUUAGUUUGCUAAGGAUAAUGGCCUCCAGCUCCAUCCAAGGGAACCUAUCUUUUAUAAUGGGCAGUAAGCAUACCUGCCCUUUGAUCUGGAGAGAGGGAGACAUUGUUUCUAUCUUGUAAGACUGAAAGCCAACUUGCCCUUUGCUCCAGAGAGAGACCCUAUCUCUGUCUUCUAAGGCUGUUUGCUAUCCAAACAUUCUUGCAAAGCUAAUCUGGAACAAAGAGAAGAGAGUACCUCUGUGAGAUGUGCACAAAUGUGAGAGAACCACAGGUAACUGUCUCCUAAUACUGCAGUACUGGUAGCAGUUUUCUUAAUUUUAGGCUUCCUAGAGGAAGUUGUAUCUAAUGGGAGUCAUUUUUGAAAAAGGGUUAGCUAACAGAUAUUUGGGGAUAGGAGAUACAGGAAGCGAGUAUUUUAGACAGAGGAAACAGCAUGGAAAAGAAAAGCCCAGGAGGCUUUGGAGGCUGGGGAGGAGGAGGAGGCUUCAGCUGAGGUCAAAGAAGCAGGUUUAUUUUGAAGGGUCUUGUAAGCCUCGAGCUGCUGUUGGUACUUGAUCCUGAGUCCUUGAAAUGGUUUAAGCUGGGGAGUGGCAUGAUCAAAUGUGUGCUUUAAAAAGGCCACUUGGGCUGCAGCUGCAAGUGGACUGGAUUCAGCCCAAGGUUAAUUUUUUCUGCUUGGUUUCCUGUAAUCAGGUUCAGGGAGAUGGGGAUGCAUGUAUUGAAAUUCUGCCACAUGGUAGAUGGGGCUGUCUUUGAAGAUGAACAUAUUUGAGGUCAAUCUCACUGCCCCUCCUCCAAUCUCACCCUCCAGCGUUUUGAUCCAAGUGCCCACAGUUCUGAUGAAUGUCAAAGGCAAGCUUGAGGAGGGAAGAGGAAAUGAUUAGUCCUUUACACUCCAGGUCAAUUUACUAAGGAUGAAUUCUCCAAAUGAUCAGCCGGAUUUUCAAAUGGUGUCAGAAGCGGUAUCCGAAGUGGAGCUUCUAGCGACCACUAGGAGGGCUGAGUGAACACGCAAGCUACCUGCAGGACCCACUUGUCUCAGAUUUUGGAGCUCCGUGGAUUUGUGUUUUGAGCUCUCCGAGUUUCUUUGAACAAAUUUCUGAUCCAAACUGGGUUUGGAGUCGCAACAGAAACUGGACUGGGUCCAGGAAUGGAUUUGAUCCAGAAAUUAACUGGCUUGGAUCAAGUUAGAGGCCUCUUACGUCUGACUGGGUGAGAAAGGAACAGGUGGAUUUUGAACAUUCACAGGGAUUUUUGCAUUAUAUCCCUUUGUUUCAUUUUUCUUGCACGCUUAGGUAGGGGAAAAAAAUCAUUGGCUAAGUUAAUCAAGAGAACCUGAGCAUAAAGCCAAUAUUUGAGGUAAAAAUGGGAUCCUUAAUUUCUGGAAAACCGAGUUCCUUCUGGCUUAUACUUUAGGCCUGGGAGGCAGUGAAGUCUUACAGAAACAGCAAAAUCUUACUAAAGAUACCUUACAGUGGAACAUUCCCAAAGAACAACAAUGCAUUGAAGUACAUUUAAAAAAUGAGGGCUCUUGGUAAAGUCCCUUUUAGCUGAGAAAGGGUUUGGCACUCCAGCAUGUCAAUUGCUGUUCUCUUUGGCAUAAUCUGCCUUGCACUCUUUGCUGAUGGCUGUGGGUGACAGGAUUAGGCAUGUACAGGAUCGUGGGACAUGGGAAGCUUUUUCUUCCCUAAAAGGGGAAACUUUAGAGAUGAUGGGACCGUUGGAAAAGAUCCAUUUGGUACCAAGAAGCAGCGGCCUGAACUUUUCAGUGUCGCUGCAAUAGGUGGGUCUUUCUGUGGCCUCCCUGAUCAUUUCACCUUCCCCACCUUGCCACAGGCAAUGCUUUUCUCUCUCUCCUUUCCCUUUCUUAUGUUUUCUAUUACUCAGGGAGACCACCUUGCCCAGAGACCACAGGUUGAAACUCCUGGUCGGAGGUUGGAUUAACAAUGAUGGGGCCCAACCAGGGGCAAAUUUGAGCCUUGCUGGUUUGACAUUGGGUGCCAACCACAGUGGCUAAUGUCUAUGUUUUUGUCACACAUAUUUUACUCUGGCCAGGACAAAAAAAAGAUAAUUUUCCUUUAUGAUGUGGCUUUGCCCCAGUGCGAUGGUGUGGCAAGCUGAGUCACUAGGGGCGCUCAUGGAAAGCGUACCCAGAAGCCUGGCAUCCCGGCAAAAAGUUAAGAAUUUCUUACCAGUUAGAUUUCAGGCUUCUCUCUCUCUCUGUGCAAAUGGUUGAAUGAACGGUAAAAAUUGCUGUUUAUCUCCAUUUUGUUUUACGUCCUUGGGAGCUUGACCUUGUAACCAUGUGGCGGUACUUUCUCUUGGUUUCCGCCUUCCAGGGAACAGGAAUUUUAGGGCUUAUGUCAUAGUUAGCUCUAAAAAUUAUCUCGAGUAGCUAAAAGCCUUUGCAAGCUCAAAAUUAACUACUCUAGAUUCCUCCUGGGAGAGGUCAUAAAAGAUUGCCCCAUGUUGGAGCUCAGUAGCUAAGGCUUUGCUCUUUCAUACUGGUGGUCUGGGUUCAAUUCCCUGCCUAUGAAGUAAGUUGCGUUUAGUUUAAUAUUUGUAUGACCUUGUCUAGUCUCUUCUCCAUGUACUAUCUAAUUUUCCUUUCUCUGAGCACCUGGGAGGUUACCUUUGGUAGAGUUCAAAAGCCAGAAAUACCAGCCGUUUGGCCUGGCUAAAAUUGGGUAAUAAAAAAUUUUAAAAGGACUUUAUUAAAGAGUGCUAUGGUUAAAAGUCAGCUUAAUUAAAAGUGGAUAUUGAAGCUCUAACUGCCUGGACUUCUUGGGAAAAACAGAAGGCACCAGAAAUCCCUUUCUGGCCCUCUUCUUCCAAGGGCUCCACCCAAAAGCCAAUAACCAGUUAAGAAACAUAAAAACUGGCAAAAUAAAAAAUCUUACAACUACUGUGGUAAUCUUCUUCUGUCUGUCUGUAUAAUUAUAUAUGUGUUGUGUGUAAUGUUUAUAUAAAAGAGCUCUGAUUAAUUGGCUUAAACAAAAAUAAGCUCAAAUUAAAUAUUUAGAAAGCAAAAUAAAAACAGCUUUAAAGAUUACUGAUAAAAUAAAGACAUUUUUGUCUAAAUUAUGCAGGUCAGAUAUUAGAUUUGCUAAAUGCUUUAAGGUCAUAAACUGCUUUGACUUUUGAAAAUUGUUCAAUUUAUUCUGGAGACAUUACAUUCUAAAUAAGGCCUGGGGAUAUAUGGAAUUAGCCAUGCCCCUUAGCUAUGCAAAGAAGGCUAUAAAGAAAAUAGAUUUUAUAUAAGAAAGGAUGUUGUAUGGUAAAUUCUUGUCCUAAAGUAAAAUAUAUUUCACCAGGUAAAGAGAGUUUUUAUGGUUCACUGAGGAUAAUCCCUUCACAAUCUGGAGCCCAAAGAUUGGAUCUUCUGAGAACAUGAGAAAAAGUUUGUCCUUGCCAUCCACACUACAGCAAAACUUUGGAGCCUUGAACCUUGGGUUCGUAAUCGCACAACUGACAAGGGCCCCUCCACACUCCUGGAACUGUACACCCAUUGGAACCCUUAAGGUAAAAGUAACCAGGAAAGUUUCUCCCCAGAAGAAGAUGGCAUCUUUUAUGUGAACAGCUUUUUCCAAGAUCACUGAUCAAGACUUCUACUAUCACAGACUCUUAUCUUUGAAUAUUUUUCCUUGUUAUGCCUCUAUGAACAAUAGAAAUGAAAAAGGGGUCUAUUAUGUGCACUUAUAGGGUAUACUUUAUUUGUGAAGGAUUUUGCAGCCAUGAAUAACCAUAUGCUUUAAUAGGUAAAAGAUGAAGGCCCAGUGUAGGUGAGAAACUUUGAUGGUACAUAUAUUGCCUCAUAAUCAGUCAAAACUCCUCAUGAAUUAAAGAGAACAUUGCCAGGAGGCCUUCAGUCCUGUAGAAGGAUAUCAUUUGUUAGGUCCUUUUUCCAUGGUUUAGAAUAAAAUAGGCAAUAAUUAGAAAUGUCACCCUCACAAUAGGCUCUACAGCAAAUUCUACUUUAAAGGCUAUCCUUACACAACAGACUUUAAAUUCUCUUGUGAAAGUUAUGCUAAAUAAUAGAAUUGGCUAAGCAGAAAAGUACCUGUGCAGCUACUGACACUUCUGGCCUAUGGAGAAAUACAUCAAAUGUAGAUUACAAAAAUUCAGUUGUAGGGGAUUAAUGAAAAGACCACUUGGUCAAGCGAGUAGACUCUUCAUCUAGCUCAUUCUUUAAUCUAUUUUAUUUGAUGUGGUUUGGUUUAUGGGGACCCUGGGUAAGGAGCAUACUCCAAACCGUUGGUAUUAUCCUCCCAAUAGUCAUAAUCAUAGUCUUUCUGGUGCUCUGUAUUCUUUCAAAGAUUUUCACUGUUCACAUGCAACCAUCUCUACAAUGUCAAAUGGUCUCUUUUCAACUGGAAUGACAAAAGCUGAAAGAAAUGUGUGACCAUGAGGACACUGUAACCUAUAAAUGAUGUACUGAGACCGGAAACCCAAAAUAUGGUAAAUGAGAGUGGCACUAAAGCCCUAAGUUUGGGUCACACUCUCACCUAGUGAGAACCUGGCCAAAAAGGGGGAAUUUUUAAAAAACAAAAUUAUGGGAAGCCGUUAUUUUGGACUUGAGCUCAUGCACUAGGCUCCAAAAAACCAAACCAGGAUAAAAUGGAGUCACUUGUGCUAAAUGUGACAUAAUCAAAUUAAGGCUUUGAGAAAGCACAUAGAUCCUAGAACAGACCAGGUUUUGUUUUUCUCCUGUAAACAGGAUGUUCCAGCAUACGGAAGCACCCUCUAUUCAGUCCUUAUUCCUUCCUUGCAAAACCCACUGUUCUAAUGUUUCCCAGUGGGUUUCAAAACCAUAUAAGUACAUUUAUGAUAGCGAUAGUAGCAUCAAUAACUAAGAUUUUGGUCAAUCUCUUAAAAUUGAGAAAAUGACCAAAAGAGGGAACUUGUUAAGGCAAACUAAAUAUGGCCUAAGAAGGACUCUGCUUCUGUAUUUGAGUCCUUGUGGAUGAACUGUGACCUAGCUUAAUAGUAAGUCAAAAUUGAAAACCUAACUUAAUAGUAUGCACCUGUAACAAUGACUAAGUGUUGGCCAAUCCCUGCGGUCAUACUUCAACCACUCGUAGACUGCUGAACAUUCAAACUGCAUUCAAAUAAGGCAAACACCAAGCUGUAACCAAUCACACUGUUUCUGUACUUCACUUCCAAUUCCUGUACAUCACUUUCCCCUUUCUGUCUAUAAAUUUGUUGUGACCACAAGGCAUCCCUGGAGUCUUGGUGAAUCUGCUGUGGUUCUGGGGGCUGCCCAAUUCAUGAAUUGUUCAUUGCUCAAUUAAACUCUUUUAAAUCUGGCUGAAGCUUUUCUUUU
rnacentral:lncRNA from 1 species